GACGAACGCUGGCGGCGUGCCUAAUACAUGCAAGUAGGACGCAGUUGCGAACGGGUGAGUAACGCGUAGGUAACUACCUAUUAGAGGGGGAUAACUAUUGGAAACGAUAGCUAAUACCGCAUACUAGUAGAUGGACCUGCGUGUUAUUAGCUAGUAGGUAGGGUAAUGGCCUACCUAGGCAACGAUACAUAGCCGAACUGAGAGGGGGAUCGGGCACAAUUGGAAUGAGUAACGGGCCAGACUUCUACGGGGUGCAGCAGUAGGGAAACUUCGGGAAUUGGGGGAAACCUGACCGGGCAACGCCGCGGGAGUUAAGAAGGUUUUCGGGUCGUAAAGCCCUGUUGUUAAGGAAGCGGUACUUAACCAGAAAGGGACGGCUAACUACGUGCCAGCAGCCGCGGUAAUUC
rnacentral:rRNA from 1 species